GUGGGGAAUAUUGGACAAUGGGCGAAAGCCUGAUCCAGCAAUGCCGCGUGAGUGAUGAAGGCCUUCGGGUUGUAAAGCUCUGUCGGGAGGGACGAAAAAGCAGCUUAACAAACUGUGUUGACGGUACCUCCAAAGGAAGCACCGGCUAACUCUGUGCCAGCAGCCGCGGUAAUACAGAGGGUGCAAGCGUUGUUCGGAAUUACUGGGCGUAAAGCGCGUGUAGGUGGCGACGUAAGUCGGGUGUGAAAUCCCUUGGCUUAACCAAGGAAGUGCACUCGAUACUGUGUUGCUUGAGUACCGGAGGGGAUGGCGGAAUUCCCGGUGUAGAGGUGAAAUUCGUAGAUAUCGGGAGGAACACCUGUGGCGAAGGCGGCCAUCUGGACGGUCACUGACACUGAGACGCGAAAGCGUGGGUAGCAAACAGGAUUAGAAACCCGGGUAGUCC
rnacentral:rRNA from 1 species